ACCUGCCCUAUGAAUAAUUUGUUUUUAAAUGGCCGCGGUACUUUGACCGUGCAAAGGUAGCAUAAUAAUUAGUUUUUUAAUUGAGAACUGGAAUGAAUGGUCGAACGAGAAAAAUACUGUCUCAAUUUAAUUUAAAUUAGAAUUUUAUUUUUAAGUAAAAAAGCUUAAAUAUUUUUAAAAGACGAGAAGACCCUAUAGAGUUUUAUAUUUAUUAUUUUAAUUGAAAGUUUUAGUAUUUUAGAUUUAAUUAAACUAUUAAUUAUUUGAUUGGGGCGAUUAAAAAAUUUAAUUAACUUUUUUUAUAAUUUAACCAUUGAUUUAUGAAUAAGUGAUCCAUAUAUUAUGAUUAUAAGAUU
rnacentral:rRNA from 1 species